UUCUUUUUACCUCUGGUAGAAUUCGGCUCUGAAUUUCGUUCCACUCUCCCCAUCACUUUCAGGUACACCAACCAAAGACAUUGUUGUCUUUGGGACCAAUACAUUUCUUCUAUCUGCAUAUCUGGGUAGAAGCUCUCAUGGAAGAAAAAAGAAAAGCCCCAUAGGUGAAGGGGAGUGUGCCUGCCAAGUUCCUUGUAAUAACUUCACAUGCAGAGUAUUUUCUGAAAUGGAUCUGCUGGAGUCAUCUCAUGGAAUCUUCUCAUUCUUCUGGAGUCUCCUCAUUUUACAGACGCUGAAGGAAAAACACCAGCUGAGGAAGAAUGAAGAACUGCCUGUUCUAAGUUAUUCUUCUGUGGUCAUUCGAGCACCAGGAAGACCAGGUUUGCCCCAUCAAGUACCUCAAGAAAGAAGUCAAUUACCUAAAGAAGUCAAGCAAAGAGGAAAGGACAAAAUGAAAAUCAUGUACCAGCGUACACGUCGAGGCUCCAAGCUGGAAUGAAUAUGGCCUUCAACAUACUCUUUAUCAUACAGAAGCUUGUGUUCAGGGCUUGGAUUUUGAAGUCAGACAGACCUGGAUUAAAAACCAAUUCAACUACCUAUUACAUAUGUGACCUAGGAAAAACAUCCAGGCAAGUGGACAGCAUUUGCAUCAGCCCAGCAAUAAGAAGGACCAUAUUCUACUUGGGAAAAGGUAAAGUCAUUUCAUAUGGAUGGAGCCUGCCAGGAAACCUGUCAUUCAACCCUUCGCAAUAAAACAGCUCCUCAUGAAUGAAGCAAAAUAAAUCAGAAGUUGUGGGCUUUUAAACUCACUAAAUGAAAGCCCAGCAUGCAUGCAGCCUCCCUCCAAAUUAAUCACCAGAUUAAAUGCAAGAUGUGCACACCAAAUCAAUAGCUUGUGACACAGACCUCCUGCCUGUGCUUCAGGAAAAUUCCAUUUCCUUUCAGAUGUUGUCGCUUGAAAUGUCAGGAAGUUUCCAUUCAUCACCCGCCCUUGAAAAUGCCACCAUCACCAUACUUCAUGUUUCCUUGCUUUCUUUCUUCAGAGGAAUCCAAGCACCUUGCAGAGGGAGCCCACUCCUUGUCACAG
rnacentral:lncRNA from 1 species